rnacentral:rRNA from 1 species
GACGAACGCUGGCGGCGUGCUUAACACAUGCAAGUCGAACGGAAAGGCCCUGCUUUUGUGGGGUGCUCGAGUGGCGAACGGGUGAGUAACACGUGAGUAACCUGCCCUUGACUUUGGGAUAACUUCAGGAAACUGGGGCUAAUACCGGAUAGGAGCUCCUGCCGCAUGGUGGGGGUUGGAAAGUUUCGGCGGUUGGGGAUGGACUCGCGGCUUAUCAGCUUGUUGGUGGGGUAGUGGCUUACCAAGGCUUUGACGGGUAGCCGGCCUGAGAGGGUGACCGGCCACAUUGGGACUGAGAUACGGCCCAGACUCCUACGGGAGGCAGCAGUGGGGAAUAUUGCACAAUGGGCGGAAGCCUGAUGCAGCAACGCCGCGUGCGGGAUGACGGCCUUCGGGCUGUAAACCGCUUUCGCCUGUGACGAAGCGUGAGUGACGGUAAUGGGUAAAGAAGCACCGGCUAACUACGUG